rnacentral:rRNA from 1 species
CCUACGGGAGGCAGCAGUGAGGAAUAUUGCACAAUGGGGAAAACCCUGAUGCAGCGACGCCGCGUGAGUGAAGAAGUAUUUCGGUAUGUAAAGCUCUAUCAGCAGGGGAGAAAAUGACGGUACCUGAUUCAGAAGCCCCGGCUAACUACGUGCCAGCAGCCGCGGUAAUACGUAGGGGGCAAGCGUUAUCCGGAUUUACUGGGUGUAAAGGGAGCGUAGACGGCAGCGCAAGUCUGAAGUGAAAUGCCGGGGCUUAACCCCGGAACUGCUUUGGAAACUGUGCAGCUAGAGUGCAGGAGAGGUAAGUGGAAUUCCUAGUGUAGCGGUGAAAUGCGUAGAUAUUAGGAGGAACACCAGUGGCGAAGGCGGCUUACUGGACUGUAACUGACGUUGAGGCUCGAAAGCGUGGGGAGCAAACAGGAUUAGAUACCCUGGUAGUC